CCUACGGGCGGCAGCAGUGGGGAAUAUUGCACAAUGGGCGCAAGCCUGAUGCAGCCAUGCCGCGUGUGUGAAGAAGGCCUUCGGGUUGUAAAGCACUUUCAGCGGGGAGGAAGGCGGUGAGGUUAAUAACCUCAUCGAUUGACGUUACCCGCAGAAGAAGCACCGGCUAACUCCGUGCCAGCAGCCGCGGUAAUACGGAGGGUGCAAGCGUUAAUCGGAAUUACUGGGCGUAAAGCGCACGCAGGCGGUCUGUCAAGUCGGGUGUGAAAUCCCCGGGCUCAACCUGGGAACUGCAUUCGAAACUGGCAGGCUAGAGUCUUGUAGAGGGGGGUAGAAUUCCAGGUGUAGCGGUGAAAUGCGUAGAGAUCUGGAGGAAUACCGGUGGCGAAGGCGGCCCCCUGGACAAAGACUGACGCUCAGGUGCGAAAGCGUGGGGAGCAAACAGGAUUAGAUACCCUAGUAGUC
rnacentral:rRNA from 1 species